CUGUAAAGUAUCAGCUUUAAUUUUACUCUGCUUAGCUUAAUGGUUAUAGCAGGCAUAACAAUGAUAGCCUGAUCACUUAGAUAUUUUCUUGCCUGAAAAAAUGUGUUUUUCAUUAAUUAUGCUGCAACCAAAUCAUCUUUUAAGGUUUACCUAACUUGUUUUUCAAGGUUGGAGAUCUCUUUCCAUGGACAGAGACUAAAAAAAGGCAGAAAAUGUUUCCUGUUCCCAAGUAGACAAGUAUGGAAAUAGAUUUCAUUACCUAGCAUCUCCAUGAUCAGCUUGGAGUCAGGAAGACCUAAGUUCAAAUACUGCCUUUGACACUUUCUAGCUGUGUCUCUCUGGGAAAGUCAUUUAUCCUGUUUGCCUUACUUUCCUCAUCUAUAACAUGAAGAGUUUGGACUUGAUCUAGAGAGCCUCUUCCAGUACUUAAUUUAUGUUACCUAAAUCAAAUUCAAUUCAAAAAUUGCUUUAGGGUUGUUAUGUUUUAGAUAAUGAUUUAUACUCUAUUAUGGCACUAUUGUCAGAAUCAAAAAAUACAUAACCUUAUUUGUGACAAAUCUCAUCCAUGUAAAACUCAAAUAUGUAUUUCAUCCUGAGAUAAAGAUUUUGUAUUUUAUUUAA